rnacentral:rRNA from 1 species
UACGGAGGGUGCGAGCGUUGUCCGGAAUCACUGGGCGUAAAGGGCGCGUAGGCGGCCUGAUAAGUAGGGGGUGAAAUCCUGCGGCUUAACCGCAGGGCUGCCUUCUAAACUGUCAGGCUGGAGCACAGUAGAGGCAGGUGGAAUUCCCGGUGUAGCGGUGGAAUGCGUAGAGAUCGGGAAGAACAUCAGUGGCGAAGGCGGCCUGCUGGGCUGUUGCUGACGCUGAUGCGCGACAGCGUGGGGAGCAAACAGG